rnacentral:rRNA from 1 species
UACGUAGGGCGCAAGCGUUGUCCGGAAUUAUUGGGCGUAAAGAGCUCGUAGGCGGCCUGUUACGUCUGCUGUGAAAUCCCGGGGCUUAACCCCGGGCGUGCAGUGGAUACGGGCAGGCUGGAGGCAGGCAGGGGAGAACGGAAUUCCUGGUGUAGCGGUGAAAUGCGCAGAUAUCAGGAGGAACACCGGUGGCGAAGGCGGUUCUCUGGGCCUGUACUGACGCUGAGGAGCGAAAGCGUGGGGAGCGAACAGG